CACAAGCGGUGGAGCAUGUGGUUUAAUUCGAUGCUACGCGAAGAACCUUACCAGGUCUUGACAUCUUCUGCCAACCUAAGAGAUUAGGCGUUCCCUUCGGGGACAGAAUGACAGGUGGUGCAUGGUUGUCGUCAGCUGGUGUCGUGAGAUGUUGGGUUAAGUCCGGCAACGAGCGCAACCCUUAUUGUUAGUCGCCAGCAUUCAGUUGGGCACUCUAGCAAGACUGCCGGUGACAAACCGGAGGAAGGUGGGGAUGACGUCAAAUCAUCAUGCCCCUUAUGACCUGGGCUACACACGUGCUACAAUGGACGGUACAACGAGUUGCGAAACCGCGAGGUCAAGCUAAUCUCUUAAAGCCGUUCUCAGUUCGGAUUGUAGGUUGCAACUCGCCUACAUGAAGUUGGAAUCGUUAGUAAUCGUGGAUCAGCAUGCCACGGUGAAUACGUUCCCGGGCCUUGUACACACCGCCCGUCACACCAUGAGAGUUUGUAACACCCAAAGCCGGUGAGGUAACUUUUGGGGACCAGCCGUCUAAGGUGGGACAGAUGAUUAGGGUGAAGUCGUAACAAGGUAACC
rnacentral:rRNA from 1 species